GUGGGGAAUCUUAGACAAUGGGGGAAACCCUGAUCUAGCCAUGCCGCGUGAGCGAUGAAGGCCUUAGGGUUGUAAAGCUCUUUCAGCUGGGAAGAUAAUGACGGUACCAGCAGAAGAAGCCCCGGCUAACUCCGUGCCAGCAGCCGCGGUAAUACGGAGGGGGCUAGCGUUGUUCGGAAUUACUGGGCGUAAAGCGCGCGUAGGCGGACCAGAAAGUUGGAGGUGAAAUCCCAGGGCUCAACCUUGGAACUGCCUUCAAAACUCCUGGUCUGGAGUUCGAGAGGGGUGAGUGGAAUUCCGAGUGUAGAGGUGAAAUUCGUAGAUAUUCGGAGGAACACCAGUGGCGAAGGCGGCUCACUGGCUCGAUACUGACGCUGAGGUGCGAAAGCGUGGGGAGCAAACAGGAUUAGAAACCCCGGUAGUCC
rnacentral:rRNA from 1 species